rnacentral:rRNA from 1 species
UACGAAGGGGGCUAGCGUUGCUCGGAAUCACUGGGCGUAAAGCGCACGUAGGCGGAUCGUUAAGUCAGGGGUGAAAUCCUGGAGCUCAACUCCAGAACUGCCUUUGAUACUGGCGAUCUUGAGUUCGAGAGAGGUGAGUGGAACUGCGAGUGUAGAGGUGAAAUUCGUAGAUAUUCGCAAGAACACCAGUGGCGAAGGCGGCUCACUGGCUCGAUACUGACGCUGAGGUGCGAAAGCGUGGGGAGCAAACAGG